rnacentral:rRNA from 1 species
AGAUUGAACGCUGGCGGCAGGCCUAACACAUGCAAGUCGAGCGGUAGAGAGGUGCUUGCAUCUCUUGAGAGCGGCGGACGGGUGAGUAAUGCCUAGGAAUCUGCCUAGUGGUGGGGGAUAACGUUCGGAAACGGACGCUAAUACCGCAUACGUCCUACGGGAGAAAGCGGGGGACCUUCGGGCCUCGCGCCAUUAGAUGAGCCUAGGUCGGAUUAGCUAGUUGGUGAGGUAAUGGCUCACCAAGGCGACGAUCCGUAACUGGUCUGAGAGGAUGAUCAGUCACACUGGAACUGAGACACGGUCCAGACUCCUACGGGAGGCAGCAGUGGGGAAUAUUGGACAAUGGGCGAAAGCCUGAUCAGUCCAUGCCGCGUGUGUGAAGAAGGUCUUCGGAUUGUAAAGCACGUUUAAGUUGGAGUAAGGUUGUAACGUUAAUACGUU